UGGGGAAUAUUGGACAAUGGGGGCAACCCUGAUCCAGCCAUGCCGCGUGAGUGAUGAAGGCCUUCGGGUUGUAAAGCUCUUUUGGCGGGGACGAUGAUGACGGUACCCGCAGAAUAAGCCCCGGCUAACUUCGUGCCAGCAGCCGCGGUAAGACGAAGGGGGCUAGCGUUGUUCGGAAUUACUGGGCGUAAAGCGAGUGUAGGCGGUUGCCGUAGUCAGGUGUGAAAGCCUUGAGCUCAACUCAAGAAAUGCACUUGAUACUGGGUGACUAGAGGACCGGAGAGGAUAGUGGAAUUCCCAGUGUAGUGGUGAAAUACGUAGAGAUUGGGAAGAACACCAGUGGCGAAGGCGGCUAUCUGGACGGUUACUGACGCUAAGACUCGAAAGCGUGGGGAGCAAACAGGAUUAGAUACCCUGGCAGUCCACGCCGUAAACGAUGGGUGCUAGACGUCGGCGAGCUUGCUCGUCAGUGUCGCAGCUAAACGCGUUAAGCA
rnacentral:rRNA from 1 species